rnacentral:rRNA from 1 species
UACGUAGGGAGCAAGCGUUGUCCGGAAUCAUUGGGCGUAAAGCGCGCGUAGGUGGCCUCAUAAGUCCGCUGUGAAAGUCAAAGGCUCAACCUUUGAAAGCCGGUGGAUACUGUGAGGCUAGAGUACGGAAGAGGCGAGUGGAAUUCCUGGUGUAGCGGUGGAAUGUGCAGAUAUCAGGAGGAACACCAAUAGCGAAGGCAGCUCGCUGGGACGUUACUGACACUGAGGCGCGAAAGCGUGGGGAGCGAACAGG